rnacentral:lncRNA from 1 species
AUAUAUAUAUUUGUGAAGUUGCUUUAAGUACUAAUAAGCAAUGUACAAAAUGUUUGAAAUAUUUUACAUUAUCCUAUCUUUAUAAGAAAUGCAGUUAUUUUCAUAUUUUAAACAUAAACAAACAGCAUAAAAACAUGUGUGAUAACAAUUGGAUACAUACAGAAAAUGUGCAAGCAACAAUUAGACUUGUUUUUAAUACUGAUGGAAUUCCUGUUUUUAAAUUAUCAAAGUGGACCUUGUGGCCUUUGCUAGCAUCCAUUCAUAAUUUUCCAUAUUCAUUGCAAAUUACUAAUAUUUUGUUUUUUGGUUUCUGGUCCAGUUUUAAAAAACCAAACGUGCAAUUAUUUUUAUCUUGUUUUGUUGAUUUUUUACUAACCUAUCCACUACUGGUAUACUCUUAUCUAAUAAUGUUCGUGUUUUUUUUCAUGUAUCUAUUUUUUUGUGUGAUACAAUUGCAGGAGCUAUGGUUUUUUGUUGUAGGUAGUUUAAUGAUUAUAAUGGUUGCCAUUGGUGUUCUUCUCAAGGGGUAAAAGUUAAAAAAAGGUAGGAGGUCUUGUAUGACUUAUCCAUUUUCUGAUGUUAAUGGGAGUUGUAGAAACCAUACAGAUUUUUUUUGGAUUAAUGUGAUUAAAGGGUUUUUAGAUUUUUCUACAUUUGUAAGAGUACCUAAUUUUAAUUGUGAAAAUGGAACAGUUGUUAAUAAUCUGCACUGUAUUGAGCUUGGUGUUAUGAAAGCUAUGUUUUCUUUCUGAUUUGAUAGUUAUUAUUCUGGUUAUAUUUUUUCUAUUAGAAGACACUGUACUGUUGUAAAUAAUCUUUUAUCUGCAAUCAGUGUGCCAAGCAAUAUAAGACAGACUCGAUGAUCAUUAAGUUGUAUAAAGCAUUGGAAAGGAUAAAAGUGAUAAAAUGCUAUUGGUUGGAAAUUGAUAAAUUAAUAAAAAAUGAUUGAUUCUAAUUGCGCGAAAAUAUGUUGAUUUUGGAUACUGCCUCUACCAUUAACAAAUUAAAAAUAAAAGAAGCACUUC